GUGGGGAAUAUUGCACAAUGGGGGAAACCCUGAUGCAGCCAUGCCGCGUGUGUGAAGAAGGCCUUCGGGUUGUAAAGCACUUUCAGUAGGGAGGAAGGGGUGAUGCCUAAUACGCAUCAUCAUUGACGUUACCUACAGAAGAAGCACCGGCUAACUCCGUGCCAGCAGCCGCGGUAAUACGGAGGGUGCAAGCGUUAAUCGGAAUAACUGGGCGUAAAGCGCACGCAGGCGGUUAGAUAAGUCAGAUGUGAAAUCCCCGGGCUCAACCUGGGAACUGCAUUUGAAACUGUCUGACUAGAGUCUUGUAGAGGGGGGUAGAAUUCCAGGUGUAGCGGUGAAAUGCGUAGAGAUCUGGAGGAAUACCGGUGGCGAAGGCGGCCCCCUGGACAAAGACUGACGCUCAGGUGCGAAAGCGUGGGGAGCAAACAGG
rnacentral:rRNA from 1 species